AGCUUUGCGCAGUGGCAGUAUCGUAGUCAGUGAGGUUUAUCCCAGGCGUGAUUAUUGCUAAUUGAAAACUAUGGAAUUUUGCUCCAAUUAACUUGUUUUUAUAAUGCUAAAGUCACAUUGAACUUUUUUCAAGUUAUCCAAAUAA
ensembl:snRNA U4 U4 spliceosomal RNA